GGCUGAUGCUGGUUCCGAUCUAUCUCGGGCUCUGCCGUGCCGCGGAGCCGGACAACGGACACAUCGCGACAAGCGUUUUGAUCGGCGCCAACCUCGGCACGGCCGUGCUGGUCGCCUUUGUCCACUCGGCUGCGAUGAUUGCGGCCGGCGGAUUGUCGGCAUGGCUGGUCUAUCGCUAUCUGGGGCUCAAAUUCGUGUCGCGGAGCUGGUUCAAUCUCGAUGCGGCAUGGGCCA
rnacentral:misc_RNA from 1 species